rnacentral:rRNA from 1 species
GACGAACGCUGGCGGCGUGCUUAACACAUGCAAGUCGAACGGAAAGGCCCUGCUUUUGUGGGGUGCUCGAGUGGCGAACGGGUGAGUAACACGUGAGUAACCUGCCCUUGACUUUGGGAUAACUUCAGGAAACUGGGGCUAAUACCGGAUAGGAGCUCCUGCUGCAUGGUGGGGGUUGGAAAGUUUCGGCGGUUGGGGAUGGACUCGCGGCUUAUCAGCUUGUUGGUGGGGUAGUGGCUUACCAAGGCUUUGGCGGGUAGCCGGCCUGGGAGGGUGACCGGCCACAUUGGGACUGAGAUACGGCCCAGACUCCUACGGGAGGCAGCAGUGUGGAAUAUUGCACAAUGGGCGGAAGCCUGAUGCAGCAACGCCGCGUGCUGGAUGACGGCCUUCGGGUUGUAGACCGCUUUCGCCUGUGACGAAGCGUGAGUGACGGUAAUGGGUAAAGAAGCACCGGCUAACUACGUG